rnacentral:lncRNA from 1 species
AGGGAAAAUUGCUACCAAAUAAGGAAGAAAAUGAAGUGAGAAAGGUUCCUAACCGUUCAGACAUAAGCACACUAAUGGAAUUGGUCUUCAGAGCCUCACACCUGGCUUUGCUUGUGUGCGUGCAGCGAGCAUGCCUAACUGUCAGCAUCGCCACACUCUCAGCUCAUGUUUCAGAUCAAGCUGACAGUCGCAGGAAGAAUUGUACCAACGUGAAGCUCUUGGAAUGAUUGUUUAGGAAUUUGAAAGGCAAAAUUGGAUAAAUAAUAAAGUAUUUCUACUGUGUAAAC